AGUGAACGCUGGCGGUAGGCCUAACACAUGCAAGUCGAACGGCAGCACAGGAGAGCUUGCUCUCUGGGUGGCAAGUGGCGGACGGGUGAGGAAUACAUCGGAAUCUACUCUGUCGUGGGGGAUAACGUAGGGAAACUUACGCUAAUACCGCAUACGACCUACGGGUGAAAGCAGGGGAUCUUCGGACCUUGCGCGAUUGAAUGAGCCGAUGUCGGAUUAGCUAGUUGGCGGGGUAAAGGCCCACCAAGGCGACGAUCCGUAGCUGGUCUGAGAGGAUGAUCAGCCACACUGGUACUGAGACACGGUCCAGACUCCUACGGGAGGCAGCAGUGGGGAAUAUUGGACAAUGGGCGCAAGCCUGAUCCAGCCAUACCGCGUGGGUGAAGAAGGCCUUCGGGUUGUAAAGCCCUUUUGUUGGGAAAGAAAUCCAGCUGGUUAAUACCCGGUUGGGAUGACGGUACCCAAAGAAUAAGCACCGGCUAACUACGUGCCAGCAGCCGCGGUAA
rnacentral:rRNA from 1 species